rnacentral:rRNA from 1 species
AGAGUGAACGCUGGCGGCAUGCCUAACACAUGCAAGUCGAACGGUAACAGGCCCGCAAGGGUGCUGACGAGUGGCGGACGGGUGAGGAAUACAUCGGAAUCUGCCCGGUUGUGGGGGAUAACGUAGGGAAACUUACGCUAAUACCGCAUACGACCUACGGGUGAAAGCGGGGGACCUUCGGGCCUCGCGCAGUCGGAUGAGCCGAUGUCGGAUUAGCUAGUUGGCGGGGUAAAGGCCCACCAAGGCGACGAUCCGUAGCUGGUCUGAGAGGAUGAUCAGCCACACUGGGACUGAGACACGGCCCAGACUCCUACGGGAGGCAGCAGUGGGGAAUAUUGGACAAUGGGGGCAACCCUGAUCCAGCAAUGCCGCGUGUGUGAAGAAGGCCUUCGGGUUGUAAAGCACUUUAUCGGGAACGAAACGUGUCAGGUAAAUACCCUGACAACUGACGGUACCCGAGGAAUAAGCACCGGCUAACUUCGUGCCAGCAGCCGC